rnacentral:tRNA from 1 species
GCGGUGGUGGUGAAAUGGUAGACACGCUACUUUGAGGGGGUAGUGCAUAUUGCUUGCGUGUGAGUUCGAGUCUCACCCACCGCA